ACCACUCCUGUCACAUCGAAUUGUUAAAAAUGAUGUUCCUGGUACACCGGAAAAAAACUGAAAAUUUAAAAAAGAAAAAAAUACCAACUGAAGCAGAUGUAGUUGUCAUAGGGGCUGGCAGUGUUGGAUGCAGCACAGCUUAUCAUCUUUCUAAACUCGGUGCUGGAAAAGUUGUCAUGCUUGAAAAAAGUCAAAUCACAUCAGGAACAACUUGGCACACAGCAGGUAUAUUGUGGAGCUUUAGACACAGUGAGUCUGAAACGAUCAUGCAACUUCAGACGAGGGAUCUGAUCAGUAAGAUAUUGCCCGAAGAAACAGAUGAAGAUGCAGGCUAGUUGGAGACAGGAACAUUGAACUUAGCAAGAAAAAAACAAUCAUAUUUCCUACAACACGGGGGCUCUUUGCUGCUACCAUUACCAUUGAAAACUGCACAGUGAAGGGCAUAACAAAGAAAGAAGAUUACAACAGCCUAAAACAAAAUUUCUAUUGAGAAACUAUGUGCGCUAUCCACUUUACCACGGUGCCUGAAUUAACCAAACACACUGCGUUGAUAAAAUUAAGAAAUACUCAGUGGAAAUUUAAAGUUAACCUUCAGGUAAGCUUCAGGGAUCACAUGUAAUGUAACUUGCAUUCGCUUUAAAAAUAGAACUAUUGGUUCUGGGUUAGGGUGUCAUUUGUUAGCGAGUUUUGAUUUCAGAUCCACUGCUCAAGUGGCCAUGUUAACCAGAUAUUUGCACAGGUUAUGGAUAAGGUGCAUAAGCAUAAUGGUUGCAUGGCAGGUUUCAGAGCAAUGGAAUCACUCAGCACUGAAGCAGGUUUCAACUACUGGUCUUACUCAACAAUGCAAAUAUAAACCCUACAGAAGCACGUCUCACCCAAUUUUGUUUACCAUGUACAAACUAGAGCAUAAACCCUGAAAGUAGAUAAACCAAAAAGUUCAUGCUUACUUUAUUGUGCACAGGUUAGUAAAUUGCGAAAGUAGAAUAUUAUUGCAGUAUAAAAUCAUAUAGUAGGAUAAGAGAAGAUGGGACAACUUUUCAUUCUAUUUUCUCGUUCCAUUUGGUAGUUACCAAAGAACAUUCAUAGAAUUA